CCAAUUCAAUUAAUCUUCAUAAAUGUCUAUUUGAUUAUUUAUAUUGACCUUUCUAAUCACUGAUGUUUUUGUCAAAUGUUAGGAAUAAAGACCACUCUCAUCUUGGAGGUUGAAGUGGGGACUUAAAAUUAGUCUCCUACUUGGACCACUACAUUAAGGAUCUGGUUUAUUCAGAGACAGUGUGUGCUGCCAGAUUUCUGAGGCUUGCAAGCACCAAUAUACCUUAAUUAAGGAAGUGAUAGUUUGUUCAUUAUAUUACUUCCUGAGCUGUCUUCAUCUAUGCCAAGACUUCCGUUUAUGCACAGAACAUAAAGGAAAAUUGUUAUGCAAAAGUCUCUGAAAAGAAAGGGAAUCAUUUAGAUCACUUUCAUAGUAACAUUCAAGGCUAUCUUAAAAG
rnacentral:lncRNA from 1 species